GUACUGCAAAAUCUUACCUCUGCUCUGAAAAUACAUUAUAUUCCUAUCCAGCGGAUGAAAAGCAAUCGGCCGGCAGAUAUAGCUAAUAUCCAUUUUAUCAAAAUUCCAUUGCUCCAAACUCCAUACCCCUUUUUUAUAAUCUUUUAGUACCCAAGCCCUCCAAUUCACCAAAUGUUCCGUUUUCUGUCCAAUGAAUGAUACCUAACAACUUUCCAAGAUUGGGUCAUAAACGUUAUUAGAUUUUCAGGAUCGACAUUUCCCAUUUGCCGGUCACGGAACAAAAAAUGGCAGGGAAGAAUGGUUUUCGUAUCCGACGUCGUUUUUAGGAGGGAGUUGGAUCGACAAACAACAAAAUUAAAAUCAGAUCCAGGUAAGGACUGGAAUAAUAGGAAUUGGCCACUAGAGGCGAGGCAUGUGAAUUUUUGUUGGGAAUAGGGAAAAAAAUCCACGGGGAAGAGUCUUUGUGGCGCGAAGGAUAAAACUUAAUAAACAGCUUUAAUUCCUUGAAUAUCAUCUGAGCCCAAACCUUUGAUAACUCCUUGAUCCGUUAUCGGGUACAUGAUUGCUGCCUUAUACUGAGGUUACAC
rnacentral:lncRNA from 1 species